rnacentral:misc_RNA from 1 species
GAUGAAGAACGUAGCGAAAUGCGAUACUUGGUGUGAAUUGCAGAAUCCCGUGAUCCAUCGAGUCUUUGAACGCAAGUUGCGCCCGAAGCCAUUAGGCCGAGGGCACGCCUGCCUGGGCGUCACACGUCGUUGCCCCCCCAUCUACUCCUUCGGGAUUGCGGGGGGCGGAUGAUGGCCUCUCGUGCGCCUCGUCGCGCGGUUGGCCUAAAUGCCAAGUCCUCGGCGACGCACGCCACGACAAUCGGUGGUUGCGAAACCUCGGUUGCCUGUCGUGUGCGGUCGUCGCGCAUCGAGGGCUCGAAAAAAUUGCCGGGCUUCGGCUCGACUUUCAACGCGACCCCAGGUCAGGCGGGGUUACCCGCUGAAUUUAAGCAUAUCAAUAAGCGGAGGA